rnacentral:rRNA from 1 species
CGAACGGGAAAUAUUUUAUUGAAGCUUCGGUGGAUUUAAUUUAUUUCUAGUGGCGGACGGGUGAGUAACGCGUGGGUAACCUGCCUUAUACCGGGGGAUAACAGCCAGAAAUGACUGCUAAUACCGCAUAAGCGCACAGAACCGCAUGGUUCGGUGUGAAAAACUCCGGUGGUAUAAGAUGGACCCGCGUUGGAUUAGCUAGUUGGCAGGGCAGCGGCCUACCAAGGCGACGAUCCAUAGCCGGCCUGAGAGGGUGAACGGCCACAUUGGGACUGAGACACGGCCCAGACUCCUACGGGAGGCAGCAGUGGGGAAUAUUGCACAAUGGGGGAAACCCUGAUGCAGCGACGCCGCGUGAAGGAAGAAGUAUCUCGGUAUGUAAACUUCUAUCAGCAGGGAAGAUAAUGACGGUACCUGACUAAGAAGCCCCGGCUAACUACGUGCCAGCAGCCGCGGUAAUACGUAGGGGGCAAGCGUUAUCCGGAUUUACUGGGUGUAAAGGGAGCGUAGACGGCGCAGCAAGUCUGAUGUGAAAGGCAGGGGCUUAACCCCUGGACUGCAUUGGAAACUGCUGUGCUUGAGUGCCGGAGGGGUAAGCGGAAUUCCUAGUGUAGCGGUGAAAUGCGUAGAUAUUAGGAGGAACACCAGUGGCGAGGGCGGCUUACUGGACGGUAACUGACGUUGAGG